UAAGGAAUAUUGCGCAAUGGGCGACAGCCUGACGCAGCGACGCCGCGUGGGGGAUGAAGGUCUUCGGAUUGUAAACCCCUUUCGGGAGGGAAGAUGGGACGAGCAAUCGUUCGGACGGUACCUCCAGAAGCAGCCACGGCUAACUUCGUGCCAGCAGCCGCGGUAAUACGAAGGUGGCAAGCGUUGUUCGGAUUUACUGGGCGUACAGGGAGCGUAGGCGGUUCGGUAAGCCCUCCGUGAAAUCUCCAGGCUCAACCUGGAAAGUGCAGAGGGGACUGCCGGGCUAGAGGAUGGGAGAGGAGCGCGGAAUUCCCGGUGUAGCGGUGAAAUGCGUAGAGAUCGGGAGGAAGGCCGGUGGCGAAGGCGGCGCUCUGGAACAUUUCUGACGCUGAGGCUCGAAAGCGUGGGGAGCAAACAG
rnacentral:rRNA from 1 species